rnacentral:rRNA from 1 species
ACGGGAGGCAGCAGUGGGGAAUAUUGGACAAUGGGGGAAACCCUGAUCCAGCGACGCCGCGUGAGUGAAGAAGUAUUUCGGUAUGUAAAGCUCUAUCAGCAAGGAAGAAAAUGACGGUACUUGACUAAGAAGCUCCGGCUAAAUACGUGCCAGCAGCCGCGGUAAUACGUAUGGUGCAAGCGUUAUCCGGAUUUACUGGGUGUAAAGGGAGCGUAGGCGGUUUGGCAAGUCUGAUGUGAAACCCCGGGGCUUAACCCCGGGCAUGCAUUGGAAACUGUCGGACUAGAGUGUCGGAGAGGAAAGCGGAAUUCCUAGUGUAGCGGUGAAAUGCGUAGAUAUUAGGAGGAACACCAGUGGCGAAGGCGGCUUUCUGGACGAUAACUGACGCUGAGGCUCGAAAGCGUGGGGAGCAAACAGGAUUAGAUACCCUGGUA